GCCGCUAUAGCUCAGGGGCUAGAGCGUUGGUCUCGUAAACCAAAGGUCGCAAUGCAUUUGAGUUCAAAUCUCGUUGGCGGCA